GGCAGUUAUAGAAACCAAUGUUCCGUGCCUUGAUUCAGGUGGCAAGCAUUAAAUCUUUUUCCUGCUGUCAUGCAACAACAACUUUAAUACAAAUUAGCGCUGCCAACCUCAGUUUCCUGAGCUCAGAAGUCCUUGAUGCUACUCCCUGAAUUUUAUUCAGACUUUCACAUGGCUUGUGCUCCUCUGAAAUUGUAGCAUCAGACAAGAAACAAAAUCAAAAUGAAAAUACAAUUUAAUUGCUCCAGACUUGGUAGUAUAAUUUACUACCUAUUACCUCCCCGAAAAAUUAAUGGAAUUACAACUACUUCUUAACCUGGAUUCCAAACAAUUUUAAGGUUUAUACUCUACUUUGCUGGGACAAAGGAAAAGUUUCUGGAGGAGAAGAAGAGUUUACUGCCAGAGCACUGGAUUGGUAAUAAGAAAUCUUGGCUUUGUCUUUUACUAAGCUGAUAAUCGGAACAAAUGAUCUCUUUGGGCCUCAGAAACCCUCAUUCCAAAGGCAGUGCAGUGCAAUGGAUAAAGAACCGACCUCAAAACUAUGACAACUUGGAAGAAGAUUGUACACAAUGACUGCAAUACUGGAUGAUGACUAUCUGUGAAAACUUGGCUACUCUCAGCAAUGCAAUGAUCUGGUUUAAUUCGGAAAGACUUAAGACAGCAAAUGCUAUCCACCUCCAGAGAAAGGGCUGCUGGAAUCGUCUUUCCCAUCACUGUGUCUUUGGCUUUAUUUGGGGUUUGGGUUAAGGAUGCGUGUGCUCUUACAGCAAUGACUACUAUGGAACUGAGUUUUGCAUGGAAAUUAAAAAAAGGAAAUAAACUAUGACAGCUUGGCUUUAGGUCUUUCUACCUUUGACAAGUCACUUACAAGCUCACUAUUCUGCUCAGUUCUCUAAGACCACAGUGGCAAAGCACAUUGGUAGAAGGAAUUUCUUCAUCCUGAAAUACUUUAUAAUACAGGUACUGGAACUACUACUUCAUUCCAACUCUAAUUCACUUUCCUGGGAACCAAAUGGCACUCAACAUACUAUACAAGGAGACAAAGGUUUUUUUUUUUAUUUUUAAUAUGCUCUCUAUUUCCCUCUCUACAUUUUUUUCCUACAUCCUACAGAUGAUAUGUCUUCUCAAUGGCAAUUAGUACUUUCCUGCUACCUUUUGCUCCUGAGACAUUCCAUUCUGAACCAAACACAUGCCUUCAAGUGAUUUACAUUCCAAACUGGCCUUAUCAUCCUUUCCCCAACCAUCAAAAACUCCCAUUAUUCUUCCCCAACUAGGGCACAGGAAUCAUGACUUCAAGGCAAAAGGAAUGUUAGCAUCAUCUGUAGCUGGUAUGCCUACCACAAACACCUAAGAUGUUAGGAGUAAAAGCAAUGGGAUUUAAUUAGUUUAUAUGAAAAUAUGAUGGACAGAUGGCCAAAUAACCUUCUUUGCAAUAUUUGCAUUUUUUAAAAAUAGGAUUCACAUUAAUUCAAAUUACUUAACAAUUAGAGUAAAACGUGUUUCAUGCAGUGUGGGGCAACAUUUUUGGAAGAGAACAGUCAGGUAAAUCCUAUGGGGAAGUUUACCCUUGGAAUCAGUUUCUGAACUGCUUCAUAUUUUACACAAUUUCUUUGCUUCUUCUACUCCUGAAACCACAGAUUCCCUAAAAACUACAAGACUUUGAGUGUUUGUUUUCUUGUUUCUUUUCUUCCCAUAAUAGCAGUGGUAGCUGGGCUCUGCUUGUCUGGGGGGAGUAGAACUGACAAGGAGGAGGUUGUUUGUAUGUGUGAGUCAUGGGUCAUUUGUAAGUCAGGGACUGUCUGUACUCAGAGGCCUAAUGCCUUUAAUGAAGGCAAAACAUUUUACUUAAAACAAACAAGGAACUGGCACUAAAGAAAGUAACCUGCUUGAUUUGACUGUACUUUCACAAUGGGCAGAUCAAUCCAUACGGGUAUAUAUCCUGGGUAUGUGUGUACCUGAGUUUUUAAUAAGUUUUUUUAAGUUUUUAAUCAUAUAAAAAUUGGAAAAAAUUGUUCAGCAAAGUGCAUAUACUAUGAAGUUUUGUGGCUAUUCAUUGUUCAUUUUUAAUCUGCCUUUUACUGAUCCACCUUAGAAGAUGUCCUGCAAAAUACAAACCAGAGAGCCAAUGUGGAAAAGCCAAAAUUUUGUUUUUGCCAUUUUCCUGGAAUUGGGUUAUAUUUGUUUUUCCUAAUAAGUAUUUAUUUAAAAUAAAUUCCAACAUGUAUCGAGAGGGAGGCAUUUUUUACUGUUGCUUUUCCUUGAGGGUUUAAUAUUUUGGGUUUUGUUUGGAAGGAAGGUAGAGCAUAGAGAAGAAGCCCUGGUCCUGGUUAUAAUUUCUCUUCUUUGCUUUAUAGAAAAAUGGCUAAAACUUUCAUUUUUAAAAUGUAAAUGAAAAGACUCCAGAUAUAGGAGGUAACUGAAAGGGAUAUAGUAUUUUAGGCUUCUGUUCAUGAAAACUAAUGAAAAUGAAGAAUAUGAGGGAAAUGGAAGAGCUGAAGGAAGUGAGAAGAAAUUUUGUAAUGGAUAAAAUCCUCAGGCCUCUUGGCUUUCUCCAAAAACUAUGAGUUUCUGGAAAAGAAUCUGGGGCUUGGGCUUCAUUAUGCCAACACAACCAGUGGAAAAGUUUAAAAAGUCAGUCAUUUAACUGGUUGUUGUGGAAUGUCAUUUCUUACAUAAUCUUUUUUGUAAAAUACUUUUCAACACAAAUUUUUUUUCUAAAAAUUGUUAUUCUUUCACAGAAUAAUCCAUUUGCUUAUUCAUCCUCCAUUUUAUUUUGAGUAUCUUGAGCUCUGAUUAUGUAAAAAAAAACACUUUGCAAAGACCUUUUUUGCUAACCCACUUCCUUUAACACUUCUAUUUUUUUUG